UCCUACGGGAGGCAGCAGUGGGGAAUCUUGCACAAUGGGCGAAAGCCUGAUGCAGCGACGCCGCGUGAGUGAUGAAGGCCUUCGGGUUGUAAAACUCUUUCGCGCGCGACGAUAAUGACGGUAGCGCGAGAAGAAGCUCCGGCUAACUUCGUGCCAGCAGCCGCGGUA
rnacentral:rRNA from 1 species